UUGCCCUUCGUAACGGCGAAGUGAAGCGGCAAUUAGCUCAAAUUUGAAAGCUGGCCUUCUGGGUCCGCAUUGUAAUUUGUAGAGGAUGCUUUGGGGCAGCCGCCUGUCUAAGUUCCUUGGAACAGGACGUCAUAGAGGGUGAGAAUCCCGUAUGUGACAGGACAUGGCACCCUAUGUAAAGCUCCUUCGACGAGUCGAGUUGUUUGGGAAUGCAGCUCUAAAUGGGAGGUAAAUUUCUUCUAAAGCUAAAUACUGGCGAGAGACCGAUAGCGCACAAGUAGAGUGAUCGAAAGAUGAAAAGCACUUUGGAAAGAGAGUUAAAAAGCACGUGAAAUUGUUGAAAGGGAAGCGCUUGCAAUCAGACUUGUCCUAGGGUGUUCGGCCGGUCUUCUGACCGGUUUACUCGCCUUGGGACAGGCCAGCAUCAGUUUCGGCGGCCGGAUAAAGGCAUCGGGAAUGUGGCCACCACUUCGGUGUUGGUGUUAUAGCCCGGUGUGUAAUACGGCCAGCCGGGACUGAGGUCCGCGCUUCGGCUAGGAUGCUGGCGUAAUGGUUGUAAGCGACCCGUCUUGAAACACGGACCAAGGAGUCUAACAUCUAUGCGAGUGUUCGGGUGUCAAACCCCUGCGCGUAAUUAAAGUGAACGGAGGUGGGAACCGCAAGGUGCACCAUCGACCGAUCCUGAUGUCUUCGGAUGGAUUUGAGUAAGAGCAUAGCUGUUGGGACCCGAAAGAUGGUGAACUAUGCCUGAAUAGGGUGAAGCCAGAGGAAACUCUGGUGGAGGCUCGCAGCGGUUUCUGACGUGCAAAUCGAUCGUCAAAUUUGGGGUAUAGGGGGCGAAAGACUAAUCGAACCAUCUAGUAGCUGGGUUCCUGCCGA
rnacentral:rRNA from 1 species